UACAGAGGGGGCAAGCGUUGUUCGGAAUUACUGGGCGUAAAGGGCGCGUAGGCGGCCCGCUAAGUCGAACGUGAAAUCCCCGAGCUCAACUCGGGAACUGCGUCCGAUACUGGCGGGCUUGAAUCCGGGAGAGGGAUGCGGAAUUCCAGGUGUAGCGGUGAAAUGCGUAGAUAUCAAGAGGAACACCUGCGGCGAAGGCGGGUUGCUGGGCUGACACUGACGCUGAGGCGCGAAAGCUAGGGGAGCGAACGGG
rnacentral:rRNA from 1 species